AUUAAACUUGGUAUAGCUUCUAGAAGCCUCUAAAAAGAGAAAAUUGAUCUCCCUAAAAGACCACCUUCGAUACACAUAUCCUUUUCCUCUCUGGCUUUUCCGUCCAAAACAAUUCUAAAAGGUGAAACAUGUCGUCCGACGGGAACGUCACCGGCGGCGGCGGCGCUAACACCGUCGGCGUAACCAAUAAGCCUUUCUUUUGCUACCAAUGCAGCCGUACCGUUAACAUAACAAUAUCCCCUCCCUCUUCUGAUCCGACUUGUCCCAUUUGCAACGAGGGUUUCCUCGAAGAAUACGACAACCCAAACCCUAAUCAAGGCUCCGGUUUCCUAAACCCGAAUCCGAACUCAAUCCCGUUCCAUGACCCUUUCUUGACGUUAUCGGAUCCGUUCGCUUCCCUCCUUCCGCUCCUUUUUCCGUCCUCUUCAUCCACAACUACCUCAUCCUCUGCUUCUAUUGACCCUAAUAACCCUAGCCUAUCUGGGCCGACCCGCUCAGGUCGAGGCGACCCGUUCGCUUUCGAUCCGUUUACCUUCAUCCAGAAUCAUCUCAACGAUCUGCGUUCAAGCGGGGCGCAGAUCGAGUUCGUGAUCCAGAACAAUCCGUCCGACCAGGGCUUUCGGCUUCCGGCGAACAUCGGGGAUUAUUUCAUCGGACCGGGCCUUGAGCAAUUGAUCCAGCAGCUGGCCGAAAACGACCCUAACCGGUAUGGGACCCCACCCGCAUCUAAAUCAGCCAUUGAAGCGCUGCCUUUGGUGAAUAUAACGAAGAGUAACUUGAAUUCGGAGUUCAACCAGUGUGCAGUUUGCAUGGACGAUUUCGAGGAAGGGACUGAAGCCAAGCAGAUGCCCUGUAAGCAUCUUUAUCAUAAGGAUUGCUUAUUGCCGUGGCUGGAAUUGCAUAAUUCGUGCCCCGUGUGUCGUCACGAGCUGCCUACUGAUGAUCCUGAUUAUGAGAGGAGGGUUCGCGGGGCACAAGGGACCAGUGGAGGUAAUGACGGUGAUAAUAGUGGGCAGAGGUCUGAUGGGGAUAAUCGGACUGUCGAGAGGAGUUUUAGGAUAUCGCUGCCUUGGCCGUUUCAGGCUCGGGGACCUGGACCUGCACCAGGUGAUAAUGCAGAGACGAGGCAAGAAGAUUUGGAUUGAGAAUUGGUCCCCGGAUUGAACCCAGGAUGGGUGUCAGUUGAAGACUUGAGCACGAGUUCUUCCCCAUUCCAACUGUGGUUCAAUCAACCAAUCUGAAUAAAUUUUGAUGCUGUUGAAAUAGUGUUACACUUUCACUCAUAUUCAAAAUGCAGCUCAAAAUGUAACAACAAAGUGCCCACAUUUGUUUCAUUAGACAUGGUGCUAAAACAUCUACUCACAGAAUUUGGGUAUGAGAGUUAUGUGUAAACAUGGAGAAUUGAGAUUAGUGUUUUGCUAUUGGGUAUCAUAUGUACAUCUGAAAAUUUUACAGCUUUGUUUAUCAAUGACAACCGCAUUUACUCUUUCAUA